CUACAGUGGUUAUGGUGUCGGCUGGAGUGCUUGGAGCCCUCAGGAAGCGCUAGGAGCAUCCUUCAACGGAGGUACCCAGUCGGGGUACCAGGUGAUCCGUUACAUGCACAAACAGGAUUAUUUAAUAAACUGACAUUCAGAAUUAACUUGGAAUGUUUUUCUAACUUGGCUAUUUGAGCAUAAAUGUAGAAAUUCACUUUGAAUUCCAAGAAAUUCUCACUUGAAUAUUAAUAACCAUGAAAGAUUUAAUC